rnacentral:snRNA from 1 species
AUACUUACCUGGCGCGGGGAUACCGUGAUCAAAAGGCGGUGCCUCCAGGACGAGGCCUGUACAUUGCACUCCGUAUGGGCUGACUCCUGCGACUACCCCAAAUCGGGUGGCUCGAGCGCAUAUAUUUUUGGUAGUGGGGACAAGCGUUCGGGCUGUCCCUU